GACGAACGCUGGCGGCGUGCUUAACACAUGCAAGUUGAACGCUGAAGCAUCUUCGGGUGUGGAUGAGUGGCGAACGGGUGAGUAACACGUGGGUAACCUGCCCUGUACUUUGGGAUAAGCCUGGGAAACUGGGUCUAAUACCGGAUAGGACUGCGCAUCGCAUGGUGUGCGGUGGAAAGUUCCGGCGGUAUGGGAUGGGCCCGCGGCCUAUCAGCUUGAUGGUGGGGUGAUGGCCUACCAUGGCGAUGACGGGUAGCCGGCCUGAGAGGGCGACCGG
rnacentral:rRNA from 1 species